CGCCUGUUUAUCAAAAACAUCACCUCUAGCAUCACCAGUAUUAGAGGCACCGCCUGCCCAGUGACNUCNCNUGNNNNNNNAAACAUUUNUUUUUGGAAAGAAUAAAAAGUAAUUUCUGCUCAAUGAUCUAGGAUUAAAUAGCUGCAUUUUGUACUAAGGUAGCAUAAUAAAUUGUUCAUUAAUUGUGAACUGGAAUGAAGGGAAAAAUGGUCUAAUACUAUCUAUAUUCUUAUGAAUUGAAUUUAAAUUUUUUGUAAAAAUGCAAAAAUAUUUUUUAGGGACAAGAAGACCCUAUAAAGCUUAUUUGAUUUCUAAAUUAUUAAGAUAUAGAAAUCCAUUUGAUUGGGGCAAUAAUUUAUAAGUAAAAAAUAUAAAUUUUAUUAUUGUAGGAAAGUAUAAACAUUUUGAUCCAUUAUUAAUGAAAAAUGAUUAAGUUACUUUAGGGAUAACAGGAUAAUUUUUAUUAGAAAGAUCUUAUUAAUAAUAAAGUUUAUUACCUCGAUGUUGAAUUAAUUUAAUUUAAUGGUGAAGUAACUUUUUGAGUUNGACUGUUCGUCAAUUAAAUAAUUACA
rnacentral:rRNA from 1 species